rnacentral:rRNA from 1 species
AGCGAACGCUGGCGGCAGGCUUAACACAUGCAAGUCGAGCGGGCAUAGCAAUAUGUCAGCGGCAGACGGGUGAGUAACGCGUGGGGACGUACCUUUUGGUUCGGAACAACACAGGGAAACUUGUGCUAAUACCGGAUAAGCCCUUACGGGGAAAGAUUUAUCGCCGAAAGAUCGGCCCGCGUCUGAUUAGCUAGUUGGUGAGGUAAUGGCUCACCAAGGCGACGAUCAGUAGCUGGUCUGAGAGGAUGAGCAGCCACAUUGGGACUGAGACACGGCCCAAACUCCUACGGGAGGCAGCAGUGGGGAAUAUUGGACAAUGGGCGCAAGCCUGAUCCAGCCAUGCCGCGUGAGUGAUGAAGGCCCUAGGGUUGUAAAGCUCUUUUGUGCGGGAAGAUAAUGACGGUACCGCAAGAAUAAGCCCCGGCUAACUUCGUGCCAGCAGCCGCCGUAA